AGACGCGUGUAUAUCUCGUUAACCUUUGAUCUUUGAUCCCUGGUUCAUUAGGGAUGUUUUGCGUGUCUUGACACCCCUUAUCGAUCGAUACUAUUUUUUCCGGGCUUUGCAAUGUAUGCAAUUUUACCCGCUACUGUCACCGAUUCACCGAUUGUGGCGGCCGAUUCUAAACUACCGGAUUAUUUGCGAACGGAAACGACCGAUACCUAGUCUGAGAAUCGAAAUGCAGUUUUUUUUUCAACUGCAAACGGAUUGUUGCCGGGCUUUUUUUCGGGCCCGCAGGAAUAGAGCGGAAGCGGCCCCCGAACCGGCGAUCCUACGGCCUUUGAUAAAAUCACCCCGAUAGGAUUUGAGAUUACCUGCCGUCGCGCUUUUCGCGUCUGCCAGUAGCGCGACGUACCGAGGUCAAAUCAUCGCGCCGCGUAGCCGUUCAAUCCGUCCCUACAUAAUUGUACCUGGAUGAUGCAUAUAAGCGCAACGCCGCGGCAGGUAAUUUCAAAUCUUGCCCUCCCCGCCUACGCAACGUUCGUUGAGCGUCGUGCUGUUUGCUAAAUGCAUAACGUCGUUUAAUAAUAUAAUUACUCGAGAUUUCGCGGACGCGCGGCAGAUAGAAAGGAGACCAAGUCGCUUAUCAUGCGCAAUGAGGUUUGUGCAAUCUUUAGUAUCGAGAAUAUAGAAGUCGCGCAAGAAGGUAUACAAACUAAUGGUUCAAUAUAAACGAAUGCUAGCAGGAUUAAAAUGUAUUCUUUAUUAGCUAAUCCAAUGUAUUUAAUUAAUUUUGGUAACGUAGAAAUUUUAGAAUACAUUCAAAUG
rnacentral:lncRNA from 1 species